GCCCCCGUAGCUCAGCGGAAGAGCGGGAGGCUACGCCUUAAGGCCGCUGGUUCGACCCCAGCCGGGGGCA
rnacentral:tRNA from 1 species